UACGGAGGGUGCAAGCGUUAAUCGGAAUUACUGGGCGUAAAGCGUGCGUAGGUGGUUCGUUAAGUCCGUUGUGAAAGCCCCGAGCUCAACUUGGGAAUUGCAGUGGAUACUGGCGAGCUGGAGUGCGGUAGAGGAAGGUGGAAUUCCCGGUGUAGCGGUGAAAUGCGUAGAGAUCGGGAGGAACACCAGUGGCGAAAGCGCUCUACUGGACCGCAACUGACACUCAGGGACGAAAGCUAGGGGAGCGAAUGGG
rnacentral:rRNA from 1 species